rnacentral:rRNA from 1 species
ACGCUAGCUACAGGCUUAACACAUGCAAGUCGAGGGGAAACGGCAUUAAGUGCUUGCACUUUUUGGACGUCGACCGGCGCACGGGUGAGUAACGCGUAUCCAACCUUCCCAUGACUAAGGGAUAACCUGCCGAAAGGCAGACUAAUACCUUAUGGUCUUCACUGACGGCAUCAGAUGUGAAGUAAAGAUUUAUCGGUUAUGGAUGGGGAUGCGUCUGAUUAGCUUGUUGGCGGGGUAACGGCCCACCAAGGCAACGAUCAGUAGGGGUUCUGAGAGGAAGGUCCCCCACAUUGGAACUGAGACACGGUCCAAACUCCUACGGGAGGCAGCAGUGAGGAAUAUAGGUCAAUGGGCGAGAGCCUGAACCAGCCAAGUAGCGUGCAGGAUGACGGCCCUAUGGGUUGUAAACUGCUUUUGUAUGGGGAUAAAGUCAGUCACGUGUGAUUGUUUGCAGGUACCAUACGAAUAAGGACCGGCUAAUUCCGUGCCAGCAGCCGCGGUAAUACGGAAGGUCCGGGCGUUAUCCGGAUUUAUUGGGUUUAAAGGGAGCGUAGGCUGGAGAUUAAGUGUGUUGUGAAAUGUAGACGCUCAACGUCUGACUUGCAGCGCAUACUGGUUUCCUUGAGUACGCACAACGUUGGCGGAAUUCGUCGUGUAGCGGUGAAAUGCUUAGAUAUGACGAAGAACUCCGAUUGCGAAGGCAGCUGACGGGAGCGCAACUGACGCUGAAGCUCGAAGGUGCGGGUAUCGAACAGGAUUAGAUACCCUGGUAGUCCGCACAGUAAACGAUGGAUGCCCGCUGUUGGUACCUGGUAUCAGCGGCUAAGCGAAAGCAUUAAGCAUCCCACCUGGGGAGUACGCCGGCAACGGUGAAACUCAAAGGAAUUGACGGGGGCCCGCACAAGCGG